UACGAAGGGGGCUAGCGUUGUUCGGAAUCACUGGGCGUAAAGCGCACGUAGGCGGAUGUGCCAGUCAGGGGUGAAAUCCCGGAGCUCAACUUCGGAACUGCCUCUGAUACAGCACGUCUUGAGUCCGGAAGAGGUGGGUGGAAUUCCUAGUGUAGAGGUGAAAUUCGUAGAUAUUAGGAAGAACACCGGUGGCGAAGGCGGCCCACUGGUCCGGUACUGACGCUGAGGUGCGAAAGCAUGGGGAGCGAACAGG
rnacentral:rRNA from 1 species